rnacentral:rRNA from 1 species
CACGUAGGGUGCGAGCGUUGUCCGGAAUUAUUGGGCGUAAAGAGCUCGUAGGCGGUGUGUCGCGUCGGCCGUGAAAACCUGCAGCUUAACUGUGGGCUUGCUUUCGAUACGGGCAGACUUGAGGCAUGCAGGGGAGAACGGAAUUCCUGGUGUAGCGGUGGAAUGCGCAGAUAUCAGGAAGAACACCGGUGGCGAAGGCGGCUCUCUGGGCCUUACCUGACGCUGAGGUGCGAAAGCGUGGGGAGCAAACAGG